rnacentral:rRNA from 1 species
UACAGAGGUCUCAAGCGUUGUUCGGAUUCAUUGGGCGUAAAGGGUGCGUAGGCGGCGCGGUAAGUCGGGUGUGAAAUCUUGGAGCUUAACUCCGAAACUGCAUUCGAUACUGCCGUGCUUGAGGACUGGAGAGGAGACUGGAAUUUACGGUGUAGCGGUGAAAUGCGUGGAUAUCGUAAGGAAGACCAGUGGCGAAGGCGGGUCUCUGGACAGUUCCUGACGCUGAGGCACGGAGGCCAGGGGAGCAAACGGG